CUGAGUUAGGGUCCCCUGGGCCCGAACCUCCCAACCCUUUGAUUACCAAACUUUUGUUGCUUCGGCGGACCCGUCCCCCUCGGGGGACCGCCGGAGGGUUGCUGUAAUAGGCGUCCUCUGGCCCGCGUCCGCCGAUGGCCCCUCCUUUAAAAUUCUGAUCUCAAAAUAUGUCGUCUGAAUUCCACAAAGCAAAUAAAUGCA
rnacentral:misc_RNA from 1 species